rnacentral:rRNA from 1 species
GAUUUCCCAUAGCGUCAAGCUAGUAAGAUCCCUGAAAGAUGAUCAGGUUGAUAGGUCAGAGGUGGAAGCAUGGCGACAUGUGGAGCUGACUGAUACUAAUCGAUCGAGGACUUAACCAA